UGCUGGCAUUCGCCUAUGUAUUUGCCAUA
rnacentral:piRNA from 1 species